rnacentral:rRNA from 1 species
GAUGAACGCUGGCGGCGUGCCUAAUACAUGCAAGUCGAGCGAAUGGAUUAAGAGCUUGCUCUUAUGAAGUUAGCGGCGGACGGGUGAGUAACACGUGGGUAACCUGCCCAUAAGACUGGGAUAACUCCGGGAAACCGGGGCUAAUACCGGAUAACAUUUUGAACCGCAUGGUUCGAAAUUGAAAGGCGGCUUCGGCUGUCACUUAUGGAUGGACCCGCGUCGCAUUAGCUAGUUGGUGAGGUAACGGCUCACCAAGGCAACGAUGCGUAGCCGACCUGAUAGGGUGAUCGGCCACACUGGGACUGAGACACGGCCCAGACUCCUACGGGAGGUAGCAGUAGGGAAUCUUCCGCAAUGGACGAAAGUCUGACGGAGCAACGCCGCGUGAGUGAUGAAGGCUUUCGGGUCGUAAAACUCUGUUGUUAGGGAGGAACAAGUGCUAGUUGAAUAAGCUGGCACCUUGACGGUACCUAACCAGAAAGCCACGGCUAACUACGUGCCAGCAGCCGCCGUAA